AUGCCCCCUCCACCAUCGGGCCCCUUCAGUCGCUGUGUCGUUUGCUCGGGCAAAAUCCCCUUCCAGGACGGGCACGACACCUGCCUUUUCUGCCUCGGCGAAUCGCACUCCCCCCAAAAUUGUGUGCAUUGCCAGGCCUUUACUAAAGCUGCCCUAAAGGCCCGACAGCAGAGACUUAAAUUACAUCUCUGGAACUCUGCCUUGUCGGCCUCCGAGCCCUCAUCCAUGGAGUUACCAUCUACCUCCUCCGCCUCCAUCUCAGAGGGAGCUGCACCGGCAGUUUCUAAGGCAGUGGACUUACCUCCUUCUAAACCAUCUAAGAAGGCUCCUAAAAAAUCUUCCAAGACCUCGUCUGUGGCCAAGCCUGUCAAGCAGACCAAGGCGAAGGGCUCAACAAGGUCUGCAGAUCCCAUUCCGCGGAUCUCGCCUAUUCCACCCGACAUCCCUUCCCCUAUUUUGGAGGAUUCGUCGAGAGGAAAGGACUCGACGUCGGGGGCGGCCACCCCCCUUCCUCCUCGACAAUCUGAGCCGGCUAUACCCCUUGGCGCUCCCUCUCUGACGCCAAGUCAGCUUGUAAGAAUAACAUCAAGCUUGGGUUCUGCCCAUGUAAGCCCUAUGUCAUCAGGGCGGGCUUCACCGGCUCCGUCGCUGUCUCCUGUGCCUUCUCGUUCCUCCUCACCGAGGAAGAAGUCCGAGAAAAGGAAACAUCUUUCUGAGGAUCGACAUCGGUCCCUUAGUAAACAUAGCAAGAGACGCCGGCACCACUCUCGACGUCGCUAUACCUCGACGUCGGAUGACUCCUCCUCCUCUGAGUCACGUCGAAGACGCCAUAAACGGCACUCUCGACGUCGGUCUCGCUCCUCCUCCUCAUCGACGUCGCCGGAACGGCGCCAUCGUCAUCGGAAAGUGAAGUACAUUUAUCUCUCUUCUUCUUCAUCGUCGGCGUCGACCCCUCCCCCGAAGAAACGUCGACGUCGUCACAAGAGGAAGACGGUAGAGGCCCCUCAGCCAGCUCCGCCCUCGGCUCCACCGAUAGUCCCCACUCCUCCUACCGGUUCGGCAUCGACAAUCCCACCUCCCCCUCCGCCCCCACCUUCUGUUCCUCCUACAGCUCCAAGCGCUCCCUGUCCACGUCCAAAGAAGACACAUGAUUUAUCUUCAGAUGAUGAUGCCCCCCCCUCAUCACAAGAACCUGACUCAGAUGAGGAGCCACCCCCACAACCUACGCCCCAAGAUUUACCAGAGGGGGAGACAGUGGAGUCAGACAUAGGCAAUCCUCAUGAUUCGUUUCCUUCUGAGGAUUUCACUUCCUAUGCACAAAUGCUUUCCAGGCUCGCCAAAACACUUAAGAUUCCUGUGGAUGAGCCAACUCCUCCCGAGGAGGACCUUAUCUUCGGUGACAUUACUAAAGACAGGUCAUCGCCUCCUAGUCUUUCCUUUCUACCUGCAUUGCUCAAAAUUGUCCACGAGUUUUGGGAGCACCCUUCUGCAUCGGUACCCCUUCCCAAAAGAACUGAGAGCAUGUACAAAAUUACUGGAGAUGAUGCAAAAUUUUUGCUUAAGCACCCCAUCCCCAACUCCCUCAUAGUGGAGACGAGUUGCACUAAGCCAUCAGGGAAGGUUCAUGUUAUCCCCACAAAUAAAGAGGGGAAGAAACUUGAGCUUAUUGGAAGACGCCUCUAUUCUUUAAUUACCUUCAUACUUAGGGUCGCUAACUACCAAACUGCCCUAGGAGCAUAUCAGAAACAGCUUUGGCUUAAAAUGCUUCCCGGCCUUCACAUGCUACCUGAUGAGGCCCGACAACCUUUCCUUAACACAUAUGAGGAGGCUCAAACAGUUUCGAAACAUCAGAGAAUUGCAACCAGACAUUCUGUCGAGGCAGCGGCAAGAAUUCUCGUUACUGCUGUUACCUUACGCAGGCAUGCGUGGUUACGCGCUGCAAACAUUUUUGAGGAUGUGAAGACUAAAGUUGAGGAUUUACUCUUUGAUUCUUUGGGUCUUUUCAUUGAAAAAACAGACACCCACCUUGAGGACUUACAUAAAGCAAAGAAAACUGCGAAGUCCUAUUACAUUCAGCCACAACCAAAGUUUAAUAGGUUUCAUUGGAAAAGGUCUUCCAACCAAUACAACCAACCCUCUCAACAAUUCAGACAGUUCAAGGACGCCUCACGAUCUGCAUCAUCUCAGAACUCCGCUGUUCCUUCUACUUACCGUGGUCACCAACCAUCCCAGCGACGUCAAUCUUACAAGCAACCUGCAAAGAAACACAGACAGUACCUUUGA
rnacentral:lncRNA from 1 species